AGUGAACGCUGGCGGUAGGCCUAACACAUGCAAGUCGAACGGCAGCACAGUAAGAGCUUGCUCUUACGGGUGGCGAGUGGCGGGCGGGUGAGGAAUACAUCGGAAUCUACUUUUUCGUGGGGGAUAACGUAGGGAAACUUACGCUAAUACCGCAUACGACCUACGGGUGAAAGCAGGGGAGCUUCGGACCUUGCGCGAUUGAAUGAGCCGAUGUCGGAUUAGCUAGUUGGCGGGGUAAAGGCCCACCAAGGCGACGAUCCGUAGCUGGUCUGAGAGGAUGAUCAGCCACACUGGAACUGAGACACGGUCCAGACUCCUACGGGAGGCAGCAGUGGGGAAUAUUGGACAAUGGGCGCAAGCCUGAUCCAGCCAUACCGCGUGGGUGAAGAAGGCCUUCGGGUUGUAAAGCCCUUUUGUUGGGAAAGAAAAGCAGCAGGUUAAUACCCCGCUGUUCUGACGGUACCCAAAGAAUAAGCACCGGCUAACUUCGUG
rnacentral:rRNA from 1 species